GGCUGGUCCAAAGGUAAUACGUUAUGCCAGUUAAUUAAUUGUUCAGAGUUAGUUACAGAUCAAACUCCUCGUUCUCCUCUUUCCCCCUUUCUCACUACUAAGCUUGAUAAGUCUUAG
ensembl:misc_RNA Y_RNA Y RNA